UACGAAGGGGGCUAGCGUUGUUCGGAAUCACUGGGCGUAAAGCGCACGUAGGCGGACUUUUAAGUCAGGGGUGAAAGCCUGAGGCUCAACCUCAGAACUGCCCUUGAUACUGGGAGUCUUGAGUAUGGUAGGGGUUGGUGGAACAGCAAGUGUAGAGGUGAAAUUCGUAGAUAUUUGCUAGAACACCAGUGGCGAAGGCGGCCAACUGGACCAUAACUGACGCUGAGGUGCGAAAGCGUGGGGAGCAAACAGG
rnacentral:rRNA from 1 species